GUAUGCCCUUAUAUUUUUUACAUAUAAAUGUUAACUUUGUACAUCACUUUCCAAGUACUGGAUGAGGCUUACUGUAGGACACCCACAACAGACCUUUAAGAAUCAAAGGCAAAAGAAGGUGAUUUCAAUUCUGAAAACGACCCGAGCCCCCACUGUGAACCUGGCCGUGGCCCUAGGUGAAAGCCACGGUCACCAUGGCGGUGCUGUCUUCUCCCCUGCAGACAUCCAGGACAAAGAAGACACACAACUUAGGAAGGAAAGGCUUUCGGAGCAAGCUCGUCGGCUCUAAAUUUCAGCGCCUAUCGGGCCACCAAUGUACAUCUGUCCAUCUUUAAGGCUUUCAGCUAAGGGGAAACACUGAAGAAAGCAUGCCAAAUUAUCUUCCAAGAUCUCUGUGUCCUUGGGGAUAACUAAGAAGUAACUGGUGGGGGAAACUGUUUCUUUCUGGAUGCUGACAAGCAAAAGUGGAAAGCAAUUUGGAGAAAACUUUGCCUGCAACAAACGUGGUAUAAAAGUAAGAAAAGACUGUGAACGAGGAGCAACCUGAAAAAACGGAUUGUUACACAGAUGAAGUCACCAAUCAAAAAAAAAUCCUGAAAUGGCUCAUUGCUUUGGUACACUAUCCUUAAUUAAAAAUCCAUUGUCUGAAAGCUAGAAGUAUUAGGAAAAAAUACCGAUAUGUGAAAACAGAUUUGUGGGCUUAGGUCUCUAUUGUUGCCUACCUAUUGAGACGUCUACAAAAAAGUUUCCCCCCCCCCCAAACCUUUCUGCUUUCCUUCUUCUUAAAUGUUCAAAGUGAUUUGCAUUUUCUGGAAUAUUCACCUCAUCACUGACAUCCUCACUUAAAAGGAAAUCAGACUACUUUGGGGCUGUGCUGUUGCUCACUGUAAAUCCUAACUGUGUUAGGAGGGAGCAGAAAAAUAAAAUUGGCAAAAUUCUAGUCUCUGUCCUUUGGUGCCUUGCUGACUUCCCUGUUUUCUAUCAGGUCUCCUGUGUUUAUGCCACAGCUCAGCCAAGGGCUGAUGCACACAAUUUUCUUCACAUGCCAACGCGACACCUCGAAGUAUACCUGAAAAUAAAAGUAGAGAAGCCUUUGAAAAUUCCCUGUCCAUGGCAAGGUACACAGAGGUAGCCAGAAACUCCCCGAGGUCUGGGGGCACAUCACAUUCCACGACCCUCUCCCCAUGUCCUGAUCCAGCUUCACCACCGCAGACCGGUGUUUCACACAGGAUUGCCGUGACAUCCACCCGCCCGCCCAGAUCGCCCUGCGCUCCUCCUCCCCAGGCCCAUCAGGUACCAUAGUUUGUUUCCACACCAUCUUCCAACAGGUAGUUACUGGGCACCUACCAGGCGCCAGGCACUCAGCUGACUGGGAGCUCUGCGGUGAAUGACAGCGAUAUGCUGUCCUCAGCAAGCAGGGUCACCAAGCUUCCCAAUUUGCCCAGAACUGAGGGGGUUCUGGGACUCGGUGCUUUAGGCAUUAAAACUGGUAUAGCCCCUGGCAAAUCGGGCCGGGUUGCUCACUCAGUAAUGAGCCCAGCAUCUACUGUCUUCUAUGGGGCUUUGUCUUAGAAAGAAGUUUAUGUCCCUGUCCGCAAAGGAGGGUCCUUCGCCCAUGUCUUCAUGUCCAAAACAUAGAAGCUUCGCAUAGAGCUAGGCAGGACUACAGUUUUCCAAGCCAGAUGCUUCCUUUCCGAGAUAAUCACGGGGUGGAUCCAGGUUUUGAGGGGCUUGAAGCUUAUACAAUCUGGGACCCUCUCUAAGAAAAAUAGACAGAAUGCUGAAUACGAAAUACGAUGCUGUGUGGGAGGGAAUGUGCAAGACCAGGGGCCCAAAGGGUAAGAUUCAUUUAGCUUCAUGUUCAAUCUGCCUUUGCAUAUGAUAAUAGUAAUCAGUGAUUAAUGUUUAUCAACUUGCUUAAUCCUCACAGCCUGUGAGGAAGAUGAGGUCAUCCUUCCCAUUUUACAGAUCAGCAAGUUGGGAUCCAAGGAGGUUAGGUAGCUUGUCUGGGGUCACCCAGCAAGGUCCACCGCUCAACCUCCUUCUGCCAGAAAUGGCAAAUGGAUGGUGGGGACCAAUGACUCCACCUCCCACUGGGGCAAAACUUGCAGAACAAAAUCACCUGGCUAAGCAAUUCAACAGACUCAACUGGUUUCAAAAUUAAACCCCAGGAGAAGGUGAGUGCCUCUGUGGCUCUCAGAGAAGGGAUUUAUCCUGCAGACAUCACACAUUUCUCUAGCUGAUGAUGGGAAGGCUGAUGUGAGCCUUGCUAUGCAUGACGGUUGUACCUGGAGGUCUACCUUCUCCCGCUAACGGAAGGCGGUGGACUCUCCCCAGUCUGUCGGCAAGUCUGUGAGGCACUGCUUUCUUGCCUUGUUUUUUAACAUGACCUUUUCCCACGUUUCCACCCUCUCUCCUUUGAGCCCAGCCUGUGCUGGACACACGGCGGGUAUCCGUCGGUCCACAAUCCCAUAAGAAAUCCACUGGGCAAGUGCAGUGGACAGAAGAUAAAGUGUGUGCACUUUGCCACCUAACUCCUGGUCUUGGAGUCUUGGUCCUGUGAUCGCAGAUAAGUCACUGAACUUCCCCAUGCCUCAGUUUCCCCAUCUGUAAAAUGAGGGGGUUAACAAUAUCUAUCUCACUGGGUUGUUGUGAGGAGUGAAUAAGUGACUAUACGUACAAUGACUCAAAAGGGCCUGGUGCACAGUAACACUAUAAAUGUUAACUCUUUUUUUUUUUUUUUUAAAU